GGGAGAGUAGUCUAGCGGCGAAGGCAGUUGACUGUAAAUCAACCACAAAGAAACAUCGAAGGUUCGAGUCCUUCCUCUCCCA
rnacentral:tRNA from 2 species